rnacentral:rRNA from 1 species
UACGAAGGUUGCAAGCGUUACUCGGAAUUACUAGGCGUAAAGGGCAGGUAGGUGGUUUGAUAAGUCUGUUGUGAAAGCUCCUGGCUUAACUGGGAGAGGUCAACGGAUACUAUCAGACUUGAGUAUAGGAGAGGGUACUGGAAUUCCCGGUGUAGCGGUGAAAUGCGUAGAGAUGCGGAGGAACACCGAUGGCGAAGGCAGCCCCUGGGCCAACACUGACGCUCAGGCACGAAAGCGUGGGAGCAAACAGG